UUGACAGCACUAAAUGUCCCACUUUGUCCUUAGAUUCUUAUUUAGGACACAUGGGAACUUCGCCAUAAAUUUCUAGAAGCGGAACUGUGGCUCUGGGGUAUAUUCUUUCAGUUAUAUUGCGGGUCAUACCCAUGGCUCCCACUGUGGUGUAUCCUUGCCCACAUGCAAGCUGGGCAGCUUUGGCAGUGUCUGUUCAUCUACCAGCUGGUCUCUGGCUAUGGUUGUUUGUUAUGUGUUGUUUUGUUUUGUUUUGAAAUGGGGUCUUAAUAUGCAACCCAGGCUAGCCUCAAACUUGUGAUGUUCUUUCCUUCCAAGAGUUGGGAUUACAAGCUAUGCUACCUUAUCCUGUUAUGCUGUGGUUUCAGAAUUAACUUCCCAGAUGACUGGUGACAUUAGGCAUUUGUACAUGGGUAUUAAAAAACUCUUCGCCGAGUUUUGUGGUAUAUAGCUUUAUUCCCAGCACUCUGGAAGCACAGGCAGGAAAAUCUCUAUGAUUUCCAGGCCUGUCUGGUCUUCACAGUAAGUUCCAGACAAGCAAAUGUGACUCAGUUUUAUUAAUAACUCCAUUGGAAUACCAGAGAUUUUGUAUUACCUGUCUUCCAGACAUCCUGCAAAGUAUUUAUUCCAUUCAUGUUCAAAAAUAUUUUGUUUUGCAUAUGGUGCUAGGUAUUGAAUCUAGUUCAAGCAAAUAUUCUCUGCCACUAUAGUCCAUCCAUUCUACAGCCUGCACAAGCUUUAGCCUUGCCAUACUGCUUUAGUCUCUUAGGUAGCUGGAAUUUCAGGCCUGAACUCUCUACAUCUGGCCUUAAAACACAGAAAUCCACCUGCCUCAGUCUUCUGAAUACUAAGAUUAAAGACAUGGGCUACCACACCAGACAAAACUAGGCAUUUUUUAUGGUAAUUGGUAAGCAAAAAUUUAGUAAAUAUGGUUCCCGUUAUUUUACUCAAAUUUCCUUUACUCCAGUGAAAGUAGAACAAAUCACUGUAAAGGAGGGUUUUAAUGUAUUAUAAUGCACCAGGACACCUGGCCGGAUAUGGGGUUUCUUAAUCUAUUCCCAAGUUAACUAAUUUGAAAACACUGGAUGUCGACAUCACUUUGGUUUGGUUUGUUCUGGUUUGGUUUUUGAGACACUCUAGCUCUGGCUGGCCCAGAACGUGAGAUAUAAUCCAAAUUGGUCUCACCAUCUCGCAUUCAUCAUCUCGCAUGUGCUAAGUACUCAACUACAUAUACUUCUCAGGAGAUGUCUGGCUGGAGAGACAGGAGCACAGGAUUCUACAAGAAUCAGCGUAGGCCGCUGGGGUCCCGCCAGCUAGAGAGCAGAGAAACCAUGAGUCCGGCAGCACCCAAAGCAAGGUGGGACGUAGGACUGAGGCAUCUACCCGGGGAAGACCCGGCGCCUCCUACACUUGCUCCGACAUUCACCACGUCUGCUCUCUGGCCCUCUUGUGGUUUCAAGAGGGAUCCAGAGGUCCGCUGUUACCGAGCCAAAGAGGACCAUAGGCGCAGCCCUCGCAGCUGACCAGUACGUGCCAGGAAGAAAGAUGGCGGAUGGGGCAUAUCCGCUUUCUGCCGGCGUUCCUGAUUGGACAGCUGGCCGCAGGGACGUUUACCAUAUCUGGGCCCAAAGCUUCCUGGGGCCCGAACAAUGAUCCUAGUGUUGGCAACCGCACAGCACGAACCCUGAACGGCCGCCUGUGACUCCCUCAGCUGACAGGACAGUAUCACCACAAUGGCCUGGCAAGUAAAAGAGAUGGCCGGUGAGGAACGUACGCUCCACCAAUCGGCGCUCUGAUUGGAUAGCUCGUGUUGAGCUCUGAGAUACUAAUUGGAUAAGCGAUCAGAGCCACCCCACCCCCUACGUGAAGCUUGUGGUAAACUCUUUUCUAAGUGGGGCACAACUGCCAUAUUGCAGCCGUAACUCUCACAACCCUGGUAGAAAUCCGCUAAUCUUGAUAAUUGCAUUUUAAACAGAAUUUAGACUUGGUUUUUCCAAAGAAGGCCUUUCCCGCUUCGUCCCCCUGGAAAUUAAGUCCGGAGUCUGCUUAAAGUCAGAUUUAGUGUACCAUGGAUACAACCUUAAAGAAAGGGUUCCUAGGCCCGCCACAGAGAAAAAGGGAUGUCCAGCCAGGGCAGGCCUACUGAAAAAGAAGAGAUCUAGUGCCACACAUGAGAAACUUGAUGUUUGCAUCGUAGCAAAAGUUUUCCUCUACCUUUCACUCAGUCUUUUUUCAUUUUCUCAUUUUCAGCCAUGAAAAGAAAAAUAUGCCAAGAGAAAACAGUUAUUCGAUAUAUUUCGAUGUACAUGAAAAGUGCAGUUACAUGGCAGCAAUCAUAAGGUUCUCCAGGAAUGCAGGGGCCAGUUUGUUUGCUCUGCCAAUAAAAGCAAUUUUAUUAGAAUUUCAAAGGACAAUCCCCACUACAGCUGCUGGAAUAGGAGUGGAGGAGAAAAACAGCCAUAGCAUUUGAGUUACAGCUACCUGGAGGUCAGCCACGCAGAGACAUGCAGUCACAUGGCAGAGAGGGUACCUUAAUGGGAAAGGAUCAUCACAGCCACUCCUAAAUGGGCACCAUUAUCUCUGGCCAUGUGGCUGGCUCGCUGCAUGUUUAAGUCAAUAUUUGUUUGCGAGAGUGUUUUGCCUGCUCGUGUACAAGUUCCCACAUAUGUGCCUGGUGCUCCCACGGGUACUGGGAACUGGACUUCAAUCCUCUGCAAGAACAGUACUCCUAAUCACUGAAUCAUUACUCCAGCUCUCUUGUGUUAACGCUGAUGCUUCUGAAAUCUCUCCCUACAUCCUAUCCUUUUACUUCAAAUAAAAUGCUCUAACUGA